GAUGAACGCUGGCGGCGUGCCUAAUACAUGCAAGUCGAGCGAACAGAUGAGGAGCUUGCUCCUCUGACGUUAGCGGCGGACGGGUGAGUAACACGUGGAUAACCUACCUAUAAGACUGGGAUAACUUCGGGAAACCGGAGCUAAUACCGGAUAAUAUAUUGAACCGCAUGGUUCAAUAGUGAAAGACGGUUUUGCUGUCACUUAUAGAUGGAUCCGCGCCGCAUUAGCUAGUUGGUAAGGUAACGGCUUACCAAGGCAACGAUGCGUAGCCGACCUGAGAGGGUGAUCGGCCACACUGGAACUGAGACACGGUCCAGACUCCUACGGGAGGCAGCAGUAGGGAAUCUUCCGCAAUGGGCGAAAGCCUGACGGAGCAAUGCCGCGUGAGUGAUGAAGGUCUUCGGAUCGUAAAACUCUGUUAUUAGGGAAGAACAAAUGUGUAAGUAACUAUGCACGUCUUGACGGUACUUAAUCAGAAAGCCACGGCUAACUACGUG
rnacentral:rRNA from 1 species